AAGUGGUAACCUGCGGAAGGAUCAUUACAGAGUUCAUGCCCUCACGGGUAGAUCUCCUACCCUCGAAUACAUACUUUGUUGCUUUGGCGGGCCACGUCCGCGUGUCGGCUUCGGCUGGCUACGCCCGCCAGAGGACCCAAACUCGUUUAUUUAAUGAUAUCCGAGUACUAUAUAAUAGUUAAAACUUUCAAUAACGGGUCUCUUGGUUCUA
rnacentral:misc_RNA from 1 species